rnacentral:misc_RNA from 1 species
UUUUUUUAUCCCCAAACGCGCACGUGUGUUAGAAUAUUGUUUUAUUUUCCACAAAUUUCUUAAUUGUUUAAACAAAAAAUUGUGCAAAUUUAUUGAAUUAUUAGUUAUUAAUAAAGUGUAAAUAAUUUCCAAACAAAAUGGCUAAAGAUAAAGUGUUAAAAAAAGAAAAACAAAUAGCUGAAAAUAAAGCUUCUAAAAAGGCGCCAGAAAAUGGAGUCUCGAAACCAACUACAAAUAGUGGCAUUUGGCAAGAUGAACGUUUUCAACAUUUGGUGUCCGAUCCGCGCUUUAAAAGUCUACCCAAGCAGCAAAGAAAAGUAAAAAUUGAUAAACGCUUCCAGGGCAUGUUUACAAAUGAUAAAUUCAAAGUGAAAUACACAGUGGACAAGUAUGGCAGACGUGUUAACAAAUCAAAUGCGGAGGAUUUGAAAAAGUACUAUGAAUUGGAUUCUAGUGCGGAGGAAAGUGAUGAAGAGGCAGAAAAACUAGAAAAAGAAAUUGAGGAAGAAAACUCACAGGCCGACUCUUCGGAUGAAGAGGAGGAGCUGGCCGAAAGGGAAAAGGAAGAAAAGGCCAUUACACAGAAGGAUAGUGAUGCAGAUGAAAACGAUGCGCUGGAAAGUGAUGGCGAGGAUGUGCCUAAAACGUUGCGUGAACGUUUAUUAGAUCCCAAUAUCGAUUAUGCCAGAGGUGAGGGUCGCUUAGUAACAGAUUCCUCCUCGGAUGAUGAAUCCUCAGAAGAUGAGGACCCCGAAAUGUAUAUAGAUCAUGUUUGGGGUGAAUUGGCCAAUGACGCUGAAAGCACUGAAGAGUCUACUAGACGUUUGGCGGUCUGCAACAUGGAUUGGGAUCGUGUGAGAGCAGUGGAUUUAAUGGUGUUAUUUAGUUCCUUUUUGCCACCGGGUGGCUCGGUAUUAAGUGUGAAAAUUUAUCCCUCAGAAUUUGGCAAAGAACGUUUGAAGGAGGAAGAGUUGCAUGGCCCACCUGAAUUGGUGGGUUUGUCUAAGGAAGCCAACAAGCAACAGAAGGGAUACUCUAGUAAAAAAGCCGAAGAUGAUUCCUCCGACGUUGAUUCUGAGGAAGAAGAUGAAUUGGUUCAGGAACAGGACAGUGACGCUGGCGAGGGAGAUGAUUAUCACAUGGAAAAACUAAGACAAUAUCAACUUAAUCGUUUACGUUACUAUUAUGCUGUAGUGGAAUGUGAUUCUAUAGAAACGGCCGAUAAGAUCUAUCAAGAAUGUGAUGGCAUAGAAUAUGAAAGUUCAGCUACUAAAGUUGAUCUUAGAUAUAUACCCGAUGAUACCAGUUUCGAUGAUGAUGAGCCCUCAGAUGUUUGCAAUGAAUUGCCAGAUGCCAAUAGCUAUCAACCCAGACAGUUUACCACUACAGCUUUGCAACAGGCCAAAGUAGAUUUAACUUGGGAUGAGACUGCGGUAGAUAGAAAAGAAUUGGGCGACAAAUUAUCUGCUGGCAAAUUAGAUGGUAUAAGUGAUAAGGAUUUAAGAAAAAUAGUGGCUUAUAGCAGUGAAGAAGAACAGGAUGAGGAAAACAGUGAAGAGGAAGAACAAGAAAGUGAAAAUGAAAAAGAAAUUAAAGACGAUAGUAACAAAUCCCAAGAAAAUAAGGAAGACAAAAAAACGAAAGAAAAGCCCAAGAAAAAAACCAAUAAGAAAGAAGAAGUGAUAAACAAAUACAAGGCCCUGUUGGCGGAAAUUAAUGAAAAGGAAGAAAAAGAAAAACAGAAAAAGAAAUAUGAAAUGGAAUUCUCUUGGGAAGUAAAUAAUGACAAAACAAAUCCUUUCAAAGAUGAUGAAGCAGCAGAAGAAGAAACUAAAAAAGCGCAACAAAAUCUAACGCCCAUUGAAAAAGUGUUACAGAAACGUAAUGAAAAGAAUAAAAAACGUAAAGAGGAAAGAAGGAAAAAGAAAUUACAAUCUACUGGCCAAGAUUCAGAAUCUGAACUCGAUUCCAUACCCGAUAAUAUUGAUAUGGAUGAUCCCUAUUUUGCAGAAGAAUUUGCCAAUGGAGAUUUCAUAGAUCCCAAAACUAAACGUAAAGAAAAACAGAAAAAGCAACAGCAACUAAAGGCUGAGCAGGAGCAAGAAGAUGAAAAACAGGCCAAAGAAUUGGAAUUACUAUUAGAUGACAAUAACGAAGAGGAUGGCAAACAACAUUUCAGUUUAGAUAAAAUCUUAAAAAGUGAACAAGAUACUAAAUCCAAAAAGAAACGCAGAAAACAGCUAAAGAAAUCUAAAACAGCCAUCGAAGAGUCACAAAAACCUGUAGAAGACAAUUUCCAAUUGAACUUAGACGAUCAACGUUUUAAGGCUGUUUUCACCUCUCAUGAAUUUAAUAUUGAUCCCACCGAUUCACACUUUAAAAAAACUAAAGCCAUGGAACAAUUAAUACACGAAAAACUUAAAAGAAGACAUGGUGAUGAAAAAACUGAAACGCAAACACAAAAUGAUAACGAAUCCGUUGAAAGUGCAAGUAAAAAACCUAAAAAACAUACUGAAACUAAUAUGUUAGUAAAGAGUCUUAAACGCAAGAUACAAAUGAAACAACAACAAGGCAAAUAAUCGAAAGCUGUUAUUUGCUGCUGUUAAUCAAGGAGUUGGAGAUUUUAUAAUGGAUCGUAGCUGUUGGUUUGCUUCAUUGUCCAGAAAAGUAGUUCAAUUUAAUAUAACUUCAUCACAUACAUCACUUAAAUUCUUCCAAAAGGCAAUAAAAUCUGGAUGAAUUCAAAGUCAACUGAAGGGCUUUUAACUUUUUCUUUCAUAUUUACACACUACAGAAAAGGAUUCAUCUCAAUUAUAACAACCUCCAAAUGUAACUAAAUACAAAAUUGUUAAAGUAGGUAAUGAAAGUAGUUAACAUGAUCUUAAUUAAUAAAAGAAAUUGAUUAAAUAAAAACUU